UCCCUGAUAGUCCAGUGGCCAAGAUUCUACACUUCUAGUGCAGGGGGCCCAGGUUCAAUCCCUGGUCAGGGAA
rfam:Ovis aries breed Texel chromosome 3, whole genome shotgun sequence.